rnacentral:rRNA from 1 species
CCUACGGGGGGCAGCAGUGGGGAAUAUUGCACAAUGGGCGCAAGCCUGAUGCAGCCAUGCCGCGUGUGUGAAGAAGGCCUUCGGGUUGUAAAGCACUUUCAGCGGGGAGGAAGGCGUUAAGGUUAAUAACCUUGUCGAUUGACGUUACCCGCAGAAGAAGCACCGGCUAACUCCGUGCCAACAGCCGCGGUAAUACGGAGGGUGCAAGCGUUAAUCGGAAUUACUGGGCGUAAAGCGCACGCAGGCGGUCUGUCAAGUCGGAUGUGAAAUCCCCGGGCUCAACCUGGGAACUGCAUUCGAAACUGGCAGGCUAGAGUCUUGUAGAGGGGGGUAGAAUUCCAGGUGUAGCGGUGAAAUGCGUAGAGAUCGGGAGGAAUACCGGUGGCGAAGGCGGCCCCCUGGACAAAGACUGACGCUCAGGUGCGAAAGCGUGGGGAGCAAACAGGAUUAGAUACCCGAGUAGUC